GUUUAAAUCUCCAGACGGGUUGAAGAAGUCGCCCAAAAGGAACCACUUGGCAAAUUUUGUUUCCUCCCUUGAAAUCCCACUGGACGUGGAGCAGUGGAGAUGGUGAAAGGUAAAUGAAAAUAAUGAUGCUUGCAUUAAUUGGACAAGCAGGCGAUUUUAUGGCUCACCAGUAAAAAAUAAAUGCCACGGGAAAGUUGCUGUUUGCAGUGCAAGCGGUGGGAAAGUGGUCUGGAGGGCGUGGGGCAGGGGGGCGGGGGGCGGCAGGGAAGUGUGGCUAGCUGCUGGUUGCGCCCUUACUUUAGGGGGUUUGGAUUUUGUGUUUCCAGAUCUUCAUCUGAACACGGCGAAGGACAGUUUGUGGAAGGUCUGCAGGCAGAACGGACAGCAAGAUGCUGGGUUCACCCCACCUGGGAGUCACCCUGUAGCAGGCAAACUUCCACCUCCCCCUCUCUGGACAUGUGA
rnacentral:lncRNA from 13 species